rnacentral:rRNA from 1 species
AGAGUUUGAUCCUAGCUCAGGGUGAACGCUAGCGGUGCGCCUAACACAUGCAAGUCGAGCGGUAGUAAUUUUUAGCUUGCUAGAAAUUAUGAGAGCGGCGAACGGGUGAGUAACACGUUGGAAUCUGCCCCCAAGUCAGGGAUAGCCAUUGGAAACGAUGAUUAAUACCGGAUGUGCUCUUCGGAGUAAAGAUUUAUUGCUUGGGGAGGAUCCUGCGUACUAUCAGCUAGUUGGUGAGGUAAUAGCUCACCAAGGCUAUGACGGUUAACUGGUCUGAGAGGAUGAUCAGUCACAAUGAAACUGAGACACGGUUCAUACUCCUACGGGAGGCAGCAGUGAGGAAUCUUCCACAAUGGACGAAAGUCUGAUGGAGCGACACCGCGUGAAGGAUGAAGGUCUAACGAUUGUAAACUUCUUUUCUGAGGGAGCAUAAUGAGAGUACCUCAGGAAUAAGGGACGGCUAAAUACGUGCCAGCAGCCGCGGUAAUACGUAUGUCCCAAGCGUUACCCGGAAUCACUGGGUGUAAAGGGUUCGUAGGCGGCGAAGUAAGUUGGAUAUGAAAGACCGGAGCUCAACUCCGUGUAUGUGUUCAAAACUGCUUUGCUAGAAUUAGGGAGAGGUAAGCGGAAUUCUGAGUGUAGGGGUGCAAUCCGUAGAUACUCAGAGGAACACCAAAAGCGAAGGCAGCUUACUGGAACUAUAUUGACGCUGAGGAACGAAAGCGUGGGUAGCGAAAAGGAUUAGAUGCCCUGUAGUCCACGCCCUAAACGAUGAUCACUAAGUGUUGCACUUUGGUGCAGUGCUGAAGCUACACGCGUUCAGUUAUCCCACCUGAGGAGUACGGUCGCAAGAUUAAAACCCAAAGGAAUUGACGGGGGCCCGCACAAGCAGUGGAUGCAUGUGGUUUUAAUUCGAUGCAACGCGAAGAACCUUACCUGGGCUUGAAAUGCAGUGGACCGACUGUGAAAGCAGUCUUCUCUUCGGAGUCGCUGUACAGGUGCUGCAUGGCUGUCGUCAGCUCGUGCCGUGAGGUGUUGGGUUAAGUCCCGCAACGAGCGCAACCCCUACCAUUAGUUGCCAUCAGGUUAAGCUGGGCACUCUAAUGGGACUGCCUACGCAAGUAGUGAGGAAGGUGGGGAUGACGUCAAGUCAGCAUGGCCCUUACGCCCAGGGCUACACACGUGCUACAAUGGGUGUUACAACGGGUAGCUAAGCCGCGAGGUGGAGCCAAUCCCUUAAAAGCACCCCCAGUUCGGAUUGGAGUCUGCAACUCGACUCCAUGAAGUCGGAAUUGCUAGUAAUCGCGCAUCAGCUCGGCGCGGUGAAUACGUUCCCGGGCCUUGUACACACCGCCCGUCAAGCCAUGGAAGCCGGGGGUACCCAAAGUCGACGACCCAACCUUCGGGAGGGAGUCGCCUAAGGUAAAACUGGUAACUAGGGCUAAGUCGAAACAAGGUAACC